rnacentral:rRNA from 1 species
UGGGGAAUUUUGGACAAUGGGCGAAAGCCUGAUCCAGCAAUGCCGCGUGUGUGAAGAAGGCCUUCGGGUUGUAAAGCACUUUUGUCCGGAAAGAAAUCCUUGGCUCUAAUACAGUCGGGGGAUGACGGUACCGGAAGAAUAAGCACCGGCUAACUACGUGCCAGCAGCCGCGGUAAUAUGUAGGGUGCAAGCGUUAAUCGGAAUUACUGGGCGUAAAGCGUGCGCAGGCGGUUUGCUAAGACCGAUGUGAAAUCCCCGGGCUCAACCUGGGAACUGCAUUGGUGACUGGCAGGCUAGAGUAUGGCAGAGGGGGGUAGAAUUCCACGUGUAGCAGUGAAAUGCGUAGAGAUGUGGAGGAAUACCGAUGGCGAAGGCAGCCCCCUGGGCCAAUACUGACGCUCAUGCACGAAAGCGUGGGGGAGCAAACAGGAUUAGAUACCCUGGUAGUCCACGCCCUAAACGAUGUCAACUAGUUGUUGGGGAUUCAUUUCCUUAGUAACGUAGCUAACGCGUGAAGUUGACCGCCUGGGGAGUACGGUCGCAAGAUUAAAACUUAAAUGAAUUGACGGGGUCAUAGCUGUUUCCU